UACGUAGGGGGGCAAGCGUUGUCCGGAAUCAUUGGGCGUAAAGCGCGUGUAGGCGGCUGGCUAAGUCCGCUCUGAAAGCCCCGGGGCUCAACCCCGGGAGGCGGGUGGAUACUGGUCAGCUCGAGUCCGGAAGAGGAGUGUGGAAUUCCUGGUGUAGCGGUGAAAUGCGCAGAUAUCAGGAAGAACACCGGUGGCGAAGGCGGCUCUCUGGGCCAUUACUGACGCUGAGGAGCGAAAGCGUGGGGAGCAAACAGG
rnacentral:rRNA from 1 species